UUCUUACUAAAUAUAGUUGUAAGUAUCACCUGCUCAAUGAAAAUUUAAAUAGCCGCGGAAUAUUAACCGUGCUAAGGUAGCAUAAUCAUUAGCCCCUUAAUUAGGGGCUUGUAUGAAUGGUGAAACAUUUUAACCCCUUUAUUAAAUAUUAUUUUAUAAUUUAAACUAAGAAUAAAAAUGUUCUUAUUUUAAUAAUAGACGACAAGACCCUUUUGAACUUAACUUCAGUUUAGCUGGGGCAGCUAAAAAAUAUUUAUCUUUUUUUUUCUUAUUAUAUAAAUGACCCAAUAAAAUUGAUUUAAUGAACAAGUUACCAUAGGGAUAACAGCGUAAUAUUUUUUUAAAGCUCUUAUUUAAAAAAAUGAUUGCGACCUCGAUGUUGAAUUAAUAUAACUUUACAAGUGCAAAAACCGUAAAAGUAGGUCUGUUCGACCUUUAAAAUAUUACAU
rnacentral:rRNA from 1 species